CGCACAUGGUCACUUCUGAUCCAUGGG
rnacentral:piRNA from 1 species